UACGGAGGGUGCAAGCGUUAUCCGGAUUCACUGGGUUUAAAGGGUGCGUAGGAGGGCAGGUAAGUCAGUGGUGAAAUCUCCGAGCUUAACUCGGAAACUGCCGUUGAUACUAUCUGUCUUGAAUCCCGUGGAGAUGGGCGGAAUAUGUCAUGUAGCGGUGAAAUGCUUAGAUAUGACAUAGAACACCAAUUGCGAAGGCAGCUCGUUACACGAAGAUUGACUCUGAGGCACGAAAGCGUGGGGAUCAAACAGG
rnacentral:rRNA from 1 species